rnacentral:rRNA from 1 species
GAGUUUGAUCAUGGCUCAGAACGAACGCUGGCGGCAUGCCUAACACAUGCAAGUCGAGCGAACUCUUCGGAGUUAGUGGCGCACGGGUGCGUAACGCGUGGGAAUCUGCCCUUGGGUACGGAAUAACUCAGAGAAAUUUGUGCUAAUACCGUAUAAUGACUUCGGUCCAAAGAUUUAUCGCCCAAGGAUGAGCCCGCGUAAGAUUAGCUAGUUGGUGGGGUAAAGGCCUACCAAGGCUACGAUCUUUAGCUGGUCUGAGAGGAUGAUCAGCCACACUGGGACUGAGACACGGCCCAGACUCCUACGGGAGGCAGCAGUGGGGAAUAUUGGACAAUGGGCGAAAGCCUGAUCCAGCAAUGCCGCGUGAGUGAUGAAGGCCUUAGGGUUGUAAAGCUCUUUUACCCGGGAUGAUAAUGACAGUACCGGGAGAAUAAGCUCCGGCUAACUCCGUGCCAGCCGCCGCGGUAAC